GACGAACGCUGGCGGCGUGCUUAACACAUGCAAGUCGAACGGAAAGGCCCUGCUUUUGUGGGGUGCUCGAGUGGCGAACGGGUGAGUAACACGUGAGUAACCUGCCCUUGACUUUGGGAUAACUUCAGGAAACUGGGGCUAAUACCGGAUAGGAGCUCCUGCUGCAUGGUGGGGGUUGGAAAGUUUCGGCGGUUGGGGAUGGACUCGCGGCUUAUCAGCUUGUUGGUGGGGUAGUGGCUUACCAAGGCUUUGACGGGUAGCCGGCCUGAGAGGGUGACCGGCCACAUUGGGACUGAGAUACGGCCCAGACUCCUACGGGAGGCAGCAGUGGGGAAUAUUGCACAAUGGGCGGAAGCCUGAUGCAGCAACGCCGCGUGCGGGAUGACGGCCUUCGGGUUGUAAACCGCUUUCGCCUGUGACGAAGCGUGAGUGACGGUAAUGGGUAAAGAAGCACCGGCUAACUACGUGCCAGCAGCCGCGGUGAUACGUAGGGUGCGAGCGUUGUCCGGAUUUAUUGGGCGUAAAGGGCUCGUAGGUGGUUGAUCGCGUCGGAAGUGUAAUCUUGGGGCUUAACCCUGAGCGUGCUUUCGAUACGGGUUGACUUGAGGAAGGUAGGGGAGAAUGGAAUUCCUGGUGGAGCGGUGGAAUGCGCAGAUAUCAGGAGGAACGCCAGUGGCGAAGGCGGUUCUCUGGGCCUUUCCUGACGCUGAGGAGCGAAAGCGUGGGGAGCGAACAGGCUUAGAUACCCUGGUAGUCCACGCUGUAAACGGUGGGUACUAGGUGUGGGGUCCAUUCCACGGGUUCCGUGCCGUAGCUAACGCUUUAAGUACCCCGCCUGGGGAGUACGGCCGCAAGGCUAAAACUCAAAGGAAUUGACGGGGCCCCGCACAAGCGGCGGAGCAUGCGGAUUAAUUCGAUGCAACGCGUAGAACCUUACCUGGGUUUGACAUGGAUCGGGAGUGCUCAGAGAUGGGUGUGCCUCUUUUGGGGUCGGUUCACAGGUGGUGCAUGGCUGUCGUCAGCUCGUGUCGUGAGAUGUUGGGUUAAGUCCCGCAACGAGCGCAACCCUUGUUCACUGUUGCCAGCACGUUAUGGUGGGGACUCAGUGGAGACCGCCGAGGUCAACUCGGAGGAAGGUGGGGAUGACGUCAAGUCAUCAUGCCCCUUAUGUCCAGGGCUUCACGCAUGCUACAAUGGCUGGUACAGAGAGUGGCGAGCCUGUGAGGGUGAGCGAAUCUCGGAAAGCCGGUCUCAGUUCGGAUUGGGGUCUGCAACUCGACCUCAUGAAGUCGGAGUCGCUAGUAAUCGCAGAUCAGCAACGCUGCGGUGAAUACGUUCCCGGG
rnacentral:rRNA from 1 species